CUAGCGCUGCUGCGAGGUGGCGUGAUGGGUGCGCAGAAGUCAGCCGAGGCCAUAGUAGGUGGGGUAACCGUCCACUGAAGGGC
rnacentral:ncRNA from 1 species